rnacentral:rRNA from 1 species
AACGAACGCUGGCGGCAUGCCUAACACAUGCAAGUCGAACGAGACCUUCGGGUCUAGUGGCGCACGGGUGCGUAACGCGUGGGAACCUGCCCUUAGGUUCGGAAUAACUCCCCGACAGGGGUGCUAAUACCGGAUAAUGUCUUCGGACCAAAGAUUUAUCGCCUUUGGAUGGGCCCGCGUUGGAUUAGCUUGUUGGUAGGGUAAAAGCCUACCAAGGCGACGAUCCAUAGCUGGUCUGAGAGGAUGAUCAGCCACACUGGGACUGAGACACGGCCCAGACUCCUACGGGAGGCAGCAGUGGGGAAUAUUGGACAAUGGGCGAAAGCCUGAUCCAGCAAUGCCGCGUGAGUGAUGAAGGCCUUAGGGUUGUAAAGCUCUUUUACCCGGGAUGAUAAUGACAGUACCGGGAGAAUAAGCUCCGGCUAACUCCGUG